rnacentral:misc_RNA from 1 species
CCAUCCCCUCAAGCUCCGCUUGGCUGGUUGGGCCUGACGUCCCCCCGUGGCUUUGCGCUGGGGGGAUGGGCCCGAAAGGCAGUGGCGGCUCCCGGCGGGUUUGGUCCCUUGGGGCGGUGAUACAUGGGUUGUCAUCUUCCACCGCUCUGUUGGCCACGCUCCGGGGGUUCCGUCGAACGAUUGGUCUUCCCCUUUA